UCUCUAACACAUCCCCCAUGGAUGACAUUGAAUCUAAUUGGCUAUAAUUUCCUAUGGCAUCUCUAGAACCUUUUCAGUCAUUUCUAUGUCAGUGACUUUCCCGUCUUCAAGGACUUCACCUGAAUUUAGUGGCAAGGAGAUUCAGUUUAAUGAAGCAAAGUUUUGCAUUUGGGCUUUGACAUAGGGUGACCAGAUGUCCCGAUUUUAUAGGGACAGUCCCAAUAUUUGGGGCUUUGUCUUAUAUGGGCUCCUAUUAUUAGCCCCCACAGGAACAGCACGGCGAUCCACAAAGCUGAGUUAGACGUCCAGGCUCCCUAUACAAUGAAUGUGGAAAAACAGGCAUCUUGGAAUGCCUCCUGGAGCCAGGGAGAGGAAGAGCUCUAGCUCUGGAGCCUUGAAAUGGCCCCUCCAAUUCAGGGUUGGGCCUAUUGGCAGGCUGCGGUGGGAAGUGAGGGCUGCGCUGUUCUCAUAAAGUACCUUCUCCGAAGACAGAAGGCUUCAGGCUCUCAGUAUCACCCCAUCUCAGAACCUGCAGAGAGCUGAUGUCUACGAUGAAAACAGCAGAAGGUGCUGAGUUGACGUUGGGUGAGA